AGCGAACGCUGGCGGCAUGCUUAACACAUGCGAGUCGCGCGGGUGGUUUCGGCCAUCAGCGGCGGACGGGCGAGUAUCGCGUAGGAAUGUAUCCCGAGGUGGGGGACAACCCUGGGAAACUGGGGCUAAUACCGCAUGGGGCCUGUGGGUCAAAGCCUUAGGGCGCCUUGGGAGCAGCCUGCGUCCGAUUAGGUAGUUGGUGGGGUAAAGGCCUACCAAGCCUGCGAUCGGUAGCUGGUCUGAGAGGACGAUCAGCCACACUGGGACUGAGACACGGCCCAGACUCCUACGGGAGGCAGCAGUGGGGAAUAUUGGACAAUGGGCGCAAGCCUGAUCCAGCAAUGCCGCGUGGGUGAAGAAGGUCUUCGGAUUGUAAAGCCCUUUCGGCGGGGACGAUGAUGACGGUACCCGCAGAAGAAGCCCCGGCUAACUUCGUG
rnacentral:rRNA from 1 species